CCUACGGGUGGCAGCAGUGAGGAAUAUUGGUCAAUGGGCGGGAGCCUGAACCAGCCAAGUCGCGUGAGGGAAGACGGUCCUAUGGAUUGUAAACCUCUUUAGGCGGGGAGCAAUGCCGGGCACGUGUGCCCGGAGGGAGAGUACCCGCAGAAUCAGCAUCGGCUAACUCCGUGCCAGAAGCCGCGGUAUUACGGAGGAUUCGAUGGUUAUCCGGAUUUAUUGGGGUAAAAGGUUGCGCAGUGGGAUUUUUAAGUCCGCGGUAAAAUGUCCGGGCUCAACCCGGGCCGGCCGUUGAAACUGGGGAUCUUGAGUGGGCGAGAAGUAUGCGGAAUGCGUGGUGUAGCGGUGAAAUGCAUAGAUAUCACGCAGAACUCAGAUUGCGAAGGUAGCAUACCGGCGCCCGACUGACGCUGAGGCACGAAAGCGUGGGGAUCGAACAGGAUUAGAUACCCUUGUAGUC
rnacentral:rRNA from 1 species